AAAAGUGUAAGAAGAAAUCUAGGUUGCCUCCUAGUAGCGCUUGUUUAACGUCACGAGCCUGACCCAAACCUGGUUGGCACUUGUCAGUAAGUGCACUACCUUCCACCACCCAUCAGUAGGUGUACCUUCCGCAUAUCCUUCAGUGGAUACCUAUAUCUUCUAACAUCCCCCAGUAGAUGCUAUCCCGGUAGCAUUCAUCAGUAAAUACUAAUCUUUCUAAUCUUCAUUGGCAUCCAUCAGUAGAUGCCAUAUCAUCUAACAUCCAUCAGUAGAUGUUGUAGAAGCAUCCAUCAGUAGAUGCUAUCAUCAUUGCCAUCAGAAGCAACGCAUAACCCAAAAAAAAUAAAUAAAAUAAAAUAACAUAAAACCAAAUCAAAUAAAAUAAAAAAAAUCAAAUAAAAGAAAAUAAAAUAAAAAUAAAAUAAAAUAAAAUAAAAUAUAAUAAAAUAAAAUAAAAUAAAAUCAAACGAAAUUGAAGAUAAAAAAAAAUUCAGAAACUGGGUUGCCUCCCAGCAAGCGCUCUUUUAACGUCAUUAGCUUGACCCGGUAAAGCCCAAACACCCAUCAGUAGGUGUUGAAAUUUUAUGUUGGUGUUCCUCCUUCCUUCAUGACACCAACAACAUCUCGAGACUUUUCUUGUCACCAACUCUAAGGAUCCUCCAUCUUCAGAAUUCUGUUUGCUUUGAUAGUCUUGUCAACCCAUGACCUAUUCUUGAAUUUCACUGAUAUGCCAGGUUUGGGUUUGUCACUUUUCACAUCAGGGUGUUGGUGAACCAAUUCUCCUUCCUUAUCUGCCUCCUGAUGAUCUUGUGCUCCUAGUACCAAAAAUUUUAUCCUGCAUACACUAAAGAACACUACACUAGAGCACCGA
rnacentral:lncRNA from 1 species